rnacentral:rRNA from 1 species
CUCGUAGGCGGUUUGUUGCGUCGAAAGUGAAAAUCCGGGGCUUAACUCCGGACUUGCUUUCGAUACGGGCAGACUAGAGGUAGGCAGGGGAGAGUGGAAUUCCUGGUGUAGCGGUGGAAUGCGCAGAUAUCAGGGGGAACACCGGUGGCGAAGGCGGCUCUCUGGGCCUUACCUGACGCUGAGGAGCGAAAGCGUGGGGAGCGAACA